rnacentral:rRNA from 1 species
UACGGAGGGUGCAAGCGUUAUCCGGAUUCACUGGGUUUAAAGGGUGUGUAGGCGGAUCUUUAAGUCCGUGGUGAAAUCUCUGAGCUUAACUCAGAAACUGCCAUGGAUACUAUUGGUCUUGAAUCUUGUUGAGGUGGGCGGAAUACAUCAUGUAGCGGUGAAAUGCUUAGAUAUGAUGUAGAACACCGAUUGCGAAGGCAGCUCACUAAGCAAGUAUUGACGCUGAGGCACGAAAGCGUGGGGAUCAAACAGG